GCUUGUCUCAAAGAUUAAGCCAUGCAUGUCUAAGUAUAAACAAAUCUAUACGUGAAACUGCGAAUGGCUCAUUAUAUCAGUUAUAGUUUAUUUGAUGGUUCAUACUACUUGGAUAACCGUAGUAAUUCUAGAGCUAAUACAUGCGUCAAAACCCGACUCCUGGGAGGGUUGUAUUUAUUAGAUGGAAACCAAUGCGGGGCAACCCGGUAUAUGGUGAUUCAUAAUAACUGUCGUAUCGAGCAAUCGAAGCGCCAUACAAGUUUCUGCCCUAUCAGCUUUGGAUGGUAGGGUAUUGGCCUACCAUGGCUUUAACGGGUAACGGAGAAUUAGGGUUCGAUUCCGGAGAGGGAGCCUGAGAAACGGCUACCACAUCCAAGGAAGGCAGCAGG
rnacentral:rRNA from 1 species